UACGAAGGGUGCAAGCGUUACUCGGAAUUACUGGGCGUAAAGGGUGCGUAGGCGGUUAGUUAAGUCUGUUGUGAAAUCCCCGGGCUCAACCUGGGAAUGGCAAUGGAUACUGGCUGGCUAGAGUGUGUCAGAGGAUGGUGGAAUUCCCGGUGUAGCGGUGAAAUGCGUAGAGAUCGGGAGGAACACCGGUGGCGAAGGCGGCUUCCUGGACCGACACUGACGCUGAGGCGCGAAAGCUAGGGGAGCAAACGGG
rnacentral:rRNA from 1 species